GAUGAACGCUGGCGGCGUGCCUAAUACAUGCAAGUCGAGCGAACGGACGCUAAGCUUGCUUCCCUGUUGUUAGCGGCGGACGGGUGAGUAACUCGCGUACCACCUACCUAUAAGACUGGGAUAACUACGGGAAACCGGAACUAAUACCGGUUGAUACUGUGAACCGCAUGGUUCAAAAGUGAAAGACGGUCUUGCUGUCACUUAUAGAUGGAUCCGCGCUGCAUUAGCUAGUUGGUAAGGUAACGGCUUACCAAGGCAACGAUGCAUAGCCGACCUGAGAGGGUGAACGGCCACACUGGAACUGAGACACGGUACAGACUCCUACGGGAGGCAGCGGUAGGGAAGCGUCCGCGAUGGGCGGAAGCCUGACGGAGCAGCGCCGCGCGAGUGAUGAAGGUCUUCGGAUCGUAAAACUCUGUUAGUGGGGAAGAACAUAUGUAUAAGUAACUGUGCACAUCGUGACGGUACCUGAACAGAAAGCCACGGCUAACUACGUG
rnacentral:rRNA from 1 species